UAAACGACUCUCGGCAACGGAUAUCUCGGCUCUCGCAUCGAUGAAGAACGCAGCGAAAUGCGAUACUUGGUGUGAAUUGCAGGAUCCCGCGAACCAUCGAGUUUUUGAACGCAAGUUGCGCCCGAAGCCUUCUGGCCGAGGGCACGUCUGCCUGGGUGUCACUC
rnacentral:rRNA from 6 species